CACGUAGGGUGCAAGCGUUGUCCGGAUUCAUUGGGCGUAAAGGGCUAGUAGGCGGCUUAGCAAGUCGGGUGUGAAAACUUCAGGCUCAACCUGGAGCGGCCAUCCGAUACUGCUAUGGCUAGAGUCCGGUAGGGGACCACGGAAUUCCUGGUGUAGCGGUGAAAUGCGCAGAUAUCAGGAGGAACACCGAUUGCGAAGGCAGCUCGCUGGGACGUUACUGACGCUGAGACGCGAAAGCGUGGGGAGCAAACAGG
rnacentral:rRNA from 1 species